rnacentral:rRNA from 1 species
UUUGAGAGUUUGAUCCUGGCUCAGGAUGAACGCUGGCGGCGUGCCUAACACAUGCAAGUUGAGCGAUUUACUUCGGUAAAGAGCGGCGGACGGGGGAGUAACGCGUGGGUAACCUACCCUGUACACACGGAUAACAUACCGAAAGGUAUGCUAAUACGGGAUAAUAUAUUUGAGAGGCAUCUCUUAAAUAUCAAAGGUGAGCCAGUACAGGAUGGACCCGCGUCUGAUUAGCUAGUUGGUAAGGUAACGGCUUACCAAGGCGACGAUCAG